GACGAACUGUGCAAACGUUAUUCGGAAUCACUGGGCUUAAAGGGUGCGUAGGCGGUCUUGUAAGUAGGGUGUGAAAGCCCCCCGGCUCAACCGGGGAACUGCGUCCUAAACUGCGAGGCUUGAGUGAGGUAGGGGUGUGUGGAACUUCCAGUGGAGCGGUGAAAUGUGUUGAUAUUGGAAGGAACGCCGGUGGCGAAAGCGACACACUGGACCUUGUCUGACGCUGAGGCACGAAAGCCAGGGGAGCAAACGGG
rnacentral:rRNA from 1 species